AUUUGCAGUUGCGUGGAAAACUUUGUUAGUGCUCUGUCUACGUUUAUGUUUGUUUUAUUUAUUAUCUGUUAUAGUUGCUGGAAAAUUUAUCUCUCUAGAAAGAGUGAUUUCUGCCUGCUUUUCUGGUGCUUAGCUCUUUGCAGGAGAAGGCCAAGUCAGGGCCAGGUUCCUUUGCAUGCCCAGAAUCCAGCCCCUGUUCUUAUUCUUAUUCUUCUUAAUAAAAUUUGUAUACCGCCUUUCAUCCGUAGAUCUCAAGGCGGUUCACCUAUUUCUGCUCUCUACGAAGACCAUUCGCCUUGCACUGAUGCAGUUACGAUAUUGCAACGCCUGCCUCCGGAGCGCUUGUUGUCGGAGAGAGGAAGCACCUGAAAUCCACGGAUCUCGUAAAUAUCGAGGGUGAAGAGAACAAAAAGCAGCUCUAGAAGUUCGGGAAGACUGGGGUUCACAAGCAAAUUCAAACGGAGCGCGAGAACUUCAGGGCAAGAUAAUUAAAAGGGCCUGGAUUAGGCGGGCUUUGUGGA